rfam:Lactobacillus coleohominis 101-4-CHN genomic scaffold supercont1.2, whole genome shotgun sequence.
AAAGCGUUAUGAUGAUGGGAUUUUUCCUUAGUCUAGCUUGAAUGUGAGAAAUCAC